rnacentral:rRNA from 1 species
UCGCUCAACGGAUAAAAGGUACUCCGGGGAUAACAGGCUGAUACCGCCCAAGAGUUCAUAUCGACGGCGGUGUUUGGCACCUCGAUGUCGGCUCAUCACAUCCUGGGGCUGAAGUAGGUCCCAAGGGUAUGGCUGUUCGCCAUUUAAAGUGGUACGCGAGCUGGGUUUAGAACGUCGUGAGACAGUUCGGUCCCUAUCUGCCGUGGGCGCUGGAGAACUGAGGGGGGCUGCUCCUAGUACGAGAGGACCGGAGUGGACGCAUCACUGGUGUUCGGGUUGUCAUGCCAAUGGCACUGCCCGGUAGCUAAAUGCGGAAGAGAUAAGUGCUGAAAGCAUCUAAGCACGAAACUUGCCCCGAGAUGAGUUCUCCCUGAGACUUAGAGUCUCCUGAAGGAACGUUGAAGACGACGACGUUGAUAGGCCGGGUGUGUAAGCGCAGCGAUGCGUUGAGCUAACCGGUACUAAUGAACCGUGAGGCUUAACCUUACAACGCCGAAG